rnacentral:rRNA from 1 species
AAUGAACGCUGGCGGCGCGCCUGAUACAUGCAAGUCGAGCGAGAAGACGUAGCAAUACGUUUGUAAAGCGGCGAACGGGUGAGGAAUACAUGGGUAACCUACCCUCGAGUGGGGAAUAACUAGCCGAAAGGUUAGCUAAUACCGCGUACGCUCCUUGGACUUCGGUUCAGGGAGGAAAGCGAUACCGUGGGUAUCGCGCUCUUGGAUGGGCUCAUGUCCUAUCAGCUUGUUGGUGAGGUAACGGCUCACCAAGGCUUCGACGGGUAGCUGGUCUGAGAGGACGAUCAGCCACACUGGCACUGCGACACGGGCCAGACUCCUACGGGAGGCAGCAGUAAGGAAUAUUGCGCAAUGGGCGAAAGCCUGACGCAGCGACGCCGCGUGGGGGAUGAAGGUCUUCGGAUUGUAAACCCCUUUCGGGAGGGAAGAUGGAACGAGCAAUCGUUCGGACGGUACCUCCAGAAGCAGCCACGGCUAACUUCGUGCCAGCAGCCGCCGUAA